GACUAUCAAGAAUCGUACACUUUUCAUCAGAUUUUUUUUCGUUAAAUCAAUGACAAAGUUAAAACUAAAAGAUAUUAAAGUGAAUAUUCGAUAUACUUAAGGGGUAUCUAAAAUUUUUUAUAUAUAAUUUAAUAAAAUAUUAACGAAUAAGUUGACGAAAAAAUAAAAAUAAAACCACAUUACACUAACUUGAUACAUUUUAAACCACAGAGUACUAAGUAAGAAAGCGUGAAACCACUGAAGUGGUAUUUGAAGUUUACUCAUAUUUUUAAUAAGGGGCAAUUGCCUAUAUACCCCUGAAAAGUUUCCGGUUUUCUUAUUUAUCCUUCUUAGAAAGCUAAUAUUGAAAAUAUCCUUCUUAUGUUCCAAGUUUUUCUAAAAUACCUCUGAAGUUAAGUUCCGUUAGUGAGCUGCCGUUAUCUCUGAAAAAUUAUCAUUUUGCCCAUUCCAAUAUACCCUUAUACCGUAACAAACUUUUCUUAUAUACCCUUCAUAUAGCAAAUACUUUUCUUAUUUGCCCUUCAGCCGGAUCCGGAGCAGAGGGCGUGCAGGGGUCCGAUGGCGUUGCGGCCCUCUUGCUCCCGGCGCCGGCCAAGGCAGCGGAGGAGGAGAAGGACGACGAGAGCGGCGAGAGAUGGGAUCGUCGCUGCGGCCCUCUUGUUCCCGGCGUCGGCCAAAGCGGCGGAGGAGGUGGACGACGGCGACGACGAGAGCAGCGGUGGAAGAGGACGACGAGAGCGACGAGAGGGAUGGUGUUGGAGGUGGAGGUGUGGGAGGAGAUGAGGCGAGAUGGAGGCGGAGGAGCCGGUCGGUGGUGGCGGAGGAGCCGGCCGGUGGUGGCGACAAAGUUGGGGAAGAAAGAGAGGAUAAUCUUAGGGAUUAGUAUAAUAAGGUAGGGACAAAAUAGGUAUUUUGUUUAGAUUUUAACUCUAGUAUAGAUUUAACCCAUGUUUAACCCGAGGUAAGCUAACAGGGGAUAACUGCGGGAGUAUUUUGAAAUAACGGUGGAACAUAUGAGGGACAUUUUAAAAAGAGAAAAAAAAAUAGGUGUAGAUCGGAUAUUUUCGAACGCAUGAAAGGUAUAUAGGUAAUUAUCCCUUUUAAUAAUUAAUAUUCAACAAAUGUAAAUUCAUAUGCGAAGUAAAUUAAUUUUUUUAUAUUAUAC
rnacentral:lncRNA from 1 species